CUGUCAUCAAGAAAGGUGGAGGGAAAGGCCCUGCGAAACCUUGGCAACCGCUCAAAUAAAAAUGUGAGUUGGUGCUAAUUCCUACCCGGUGUAAACUACCAGCGGGAUAGAUGACGG
rnacentral:ncRNA from 21 species